AGUCGAGCGAGAAUUUCCCGCAAGGGAGAGGACAGCGGCGAAAGGGAGAGCAAUACGUAGUUACCUACCCUCAGGACUGGGAUAGCUCCGGGAAACCGGAAGUAAUACCAGAUGACGUCUUUGGACCAAAGGUGUGAUUCCGCCUGAGGAGGGGACUGCGUCCUAUUAGCUAGUUGGUGAGGUAACGGCUCACCAAGGCAUUGAUGGGUACGGGGUGUGAGAGCAUGCCCCCGCUCACUGGGACUGAGACACUGCCCAGACACCUACGGGUGGCUGCAGUCGAGAAUCUUCGGCAAUGGGCGCAAGCCUGACCGAGCGACGCCGCGUGCGGGAUGAAGGCCUUCGGGUUGUAAACCGCCGUCGGAGUGGAGGAAAUUCCAAGGGGAACUCCCUUUGGAUUGACUAAUACUCAGAGGAAGGACGGGCUAAGUUCGUGCCAGCAGCCGCGGUAAGACGAACCGUCCAAACGUUAUUCGGAAUCACUGGGCUUAAAGGGUGCGUAGGCGGCCCGGUAAGUUGGACGUGAAAGCCCUCGGCUCAACCGAGGAAUUGCGCUCAAAACUACCGGGCUUGAGGAAGACAGAGGUAAGCGGAACUUAGGGUGGAGCGGUGAAAUGCGUUGAUAUCCUAAGGAACACCAGUAGCGAAAGCGGCUUACUGGGUCUUUUCUGACGCUGAGGCACGAAAGCUAGGGGAGCGAACGGGAUUAGAUACCCCGGUAGUCCUAGCCGUAAACGAUGAGCACUGGGUUAGAGGGUCCCCCAUAACCUUCUAGCCGUAGCGAAAGUGUUAAGUGCUCCGCCUGNGGAGUAUGGUCGCAAGGCUGAAA
rnacentral:rRNA from 1 species